CCUACGGGGAGCAGCAGUCGAGAAUCAUUCACAAUGGGGGAAACCCUGAUGGUGCGACGCCGCGUGGGGGAAUGAAGGUCUUCGGAUUGUAAACCCCUGUCAUGUGGGAGCAAAUUAAAAAGAUAGUACCACAAGAGGAAGAGACGGCUAACUCUGUGCCAGCCGCCGCGGUAAUACAGAGGUCUCAAGCGUUGUUCGGAAUCACUGGGCGUAAAGCGUGCGUAGGCUGUUUCGUAAGUCGUGUGUGAAAGGCGGGGGCUCAACCCGCGGACGGCACAUGAUACUGCGAGACUAGAGUAAUGGAGGGGGAACCGGAAUUCUCGGUGUAGCAGUGAAAUGCGUAGAUAUCGAGAGGAACACUCGUGGCGAAGGCGGGUUCCUGGACAUUAACUGACGCUGAGGCACGAAGGCCAGGGGAGCGAAAGGGAUUAGAUACCCUGGUAGUC
rnacentral:rRNA from 1 species